rnacentral:rRNA from 1 species
AGUGAACGCUGGCGGCAGGCCUAACACAUGCAAGUCGAACGGACGCACAGUAAGCGCUUGCCCUUACGGGUGGCGGGUGGCGGACGGGUGAGGCAUACAUAGCCUACUAAUUUUUCUGGGGGGAUUACGUGGAGAAGCUUCCGCUACUACCGCAUAUGAUGUACGGGUUAAAUCAGGGGUUCUUCGCACCUUUGGCGACACAUUUAGACGAAGCCGGAUUAGCUAGUUGGGUGGGUAAAGGACCACCAAGGCGACGAUACGUAGCUGAUCUGAGAGGAUGAUCGGCCACACUGGAACUGAGACACGGUCCAGACUCCUACGGGAGGCAGCAGUGGGGAAUAUUGGACAAUGGGCGAAAGCCUGACCCAGCCACACCGCGUGGGUGAAGAAGGUCUUCGGGUUGUAAAGCCCUUUUAUUAGGAAAGAAAAGCAGUGGAUUAAUACGCCGCUGUUCUGACGGUACCCAAAGAGAAAGCACCGGCUAACUUCGUG